CGACGGAGGUGGCUGUGGAAUCUCUGAGCUGGAGACCUGUCUCUUCGUGUUUUAGCCACCGUCCCGGGGAAUGGGGGGAACCCAUGGUCCAUGUGUUGACUAUCAUGGCCCUGCUCCAGGCUGAGGAUCGUGCUCAGAUUGGAUCUAUGUGUCUCUCCUCCUGGGAUCAGCAGCAACAUGGCAGAUGGCAGAAGCACCUACCACCAAGCCAAACCAUACAAGCAUGUUUAAGCUUCUGCUCUUGUCACAACUACUAAAAUCUCAUUGGUCAAAGCAUGUAAUAACAUGGCCAAG
rnacentral:lncRNA from 1 species